AUGUUUUCUGUUCGAUUAAGAUAAGCAGGCAAUAAAAAAGAGGUAAAAACAUCCACAAUGGUGGGCUUUUUUGUUGUGCUUAUUUUGCGAAUUGAGACAUGGAUAAGGGUGAGGUAUAGCCAUUUAUGGUUAUACGUUUUUACUAAUGUCUUAUAACGACAAUAUGCAGACUAAAGCCCGCACUGCGGAUUUUAGCUGCAUUUUUUAU
rnacentral:ncRNA from 1 species